UCUCCUACGGGAGGCAGCAGUGGGGAAUAUUGCACAAUGGGCGCAAGCCUGAUGCAGCCAUGCCGCGUGUAUGAAGAAGGCCUUCGGGUUGUAAAGUACUUUCAGCGGGGAGGAAGGCGAUGNGGUUAAUAACCGCGUCGAUUGACGUUACCCGCAGAAGAAGCACCGGCUAACUCCGUGCCAGCAGCCGCGGUAAUACGGAGGGUGCAAGCGUUAAUCGGAAUUACUGGGCGUAAAGCGCACGCAGGCGGUCUGUUCAAGUUCGGAUGUGAAAUAGNCCGGGCUCAACCCUGGGAACUGCAUCCGAAACUGGCAGGCUUGAGUCUCGUAGAGGGU
rnacentral:rRNA from 1 species